rnacentral:rRNA from 1 species
GUGGGAAGGCACAGACAGCCAGGAUGUUGGCUUAGAAGCAGCCAUCAUUUAAAGAAAGCGUAAUAGCUCACUGGUCGAGUCGGCCUGCGCGGAAGAUGUAACGGGGCUAAACCAUGCACCGAAGCUGCGGCAGCGACACUAUGUGUUGUUGGGUAGGGGAGCGUUCUGUAAGCCGUUGAAGGUGUGCUGUGAGGCAUGCUGGAGGUAUCAGAAGUGCGAAUGCUGACAUAAGUAACGAUAAAGCGGGUGAAAAGCCCGCUCGCCGGAAGACCAAGGGUUCCUGUCCAACGUUAAUCGGGGCAGGGUGAGUCGACCCCUAAGGCGAGGCCGAAAGGCGUAGUCGAUGGGAAACAGGUUAAUAUUCCUGUACUUGGUGUUACUGCGAAGGGGGGACGGAGAAGGCUAUGUCAGCCGGGCGACGGUUGUCCCGGUUUAAGCAUGUAGGCGGAGGU